UAGGCUUACUUGUAAUGGACAAAACUCUCUUGUAUCAUCUAGAAUCAUACUUGACCGACCUUGUGAGACCCUAGGUCAGUUGAGAGUGUCUAUAAAUAUUUGAAGAGCCCUCAUUUAUAACCAACUUGUAUGGAAAGCAAGCAAACUUGUAUGCAAGCUAAGAAAUACAUGUCAUACACAUUUCCAUGAGCUCUCUCAACUUCUCACUCACUCUCUUGAUAUUCCAUUCGUGAAUAAUAGUGCCUUUGGUGCACUGAUCAUCUUCGGUUGCCAUAUUCAUCAAGGUUAACUCAUAGUGUUUGGUGCACUAACCUCUCUUAAGGCUUACUUGACUACAUGGGCGACAUAGUCAAGCCAAGUGUUGCACGGUUGGUUAGUUGAAAACUCUAACCACGUGACAUAAAGCUACCUUCCCCAGUCCUUGCCCAAUUAAAGGAAUAAGUGAGCCCCUAUGGAGAAACAACAAUAAGAUCUUCUCAACGACAUUAGCAAAACAAGCAACCAUGGCAGAACAACAAGGAACCAACCAUGAAGUUGACGAAAAUUUAUUCAAAAGCCUAUGGAAAGCGACAAUUACAAAAAAAUAAAUGUAAGUUUUUCAUUUGAUUCAUUAUCCAUGAAGGCCUAAACACUUUGGAGAAUUUACAAAAAAAAAGUUGUCAAAUGUUUGUCUCAACCCAAACUAGUGUAUUCUCUGCAAAGCAAAUAUUGAAACUAGGGAUCACCUAUUUAUCCAUUGAAAUGUAGCAAAAUAACUUUGGAGAAGAUUUCAAGCUCAGACGGAUCAAAUUAUUGCAGAUAAUAAUGUCAAAUCUUUUUACCUCUCUCUAUGUCAAAUAAACCAAAGAAGCAGGAAAAGUGUCAUAAUCUUCAAUAUAGAGAUUGCUAUUCUUUGGUUCUUGUGGCUCAAGAGAAAUAACAGAAUCUUCAACAACAACCAUAAAAGCAUAUUAAACCUAUGAGAAGAUUUUUGUAAUUUAUUAGGUCUUUGGUGUAGUAGACACCCUCUAUUCAAAGAUUAUAGGCCUAACGUUAUAGCACUAAAUUUUAGAGCUUUGGUGAACUAAAUUCUUCUUGAGCUCAUCUCCAGCUCCGCUUGGUACCUUGAAAGUGCUUUUUAUUAAUAAAAAAUUAUUUGUGUUUCAAUGACAACUUCAAUGAAAUAAACAGUGUGAAGUAAAGUUUCAUUUGUUAUCUAGGCGUUUAACUUGCUUAGGAAACUUACUUAGGAAACCUUUCUAUAGUUAAUUAGACAAGCAAACUUUAUCUCAAACCUCUUUUGUAAGAUUUUUAGCAAUGAGGACAUUGUUACACUCUAAAUUUGAAGGUGUGCAAGCUAAGGUCCCAGCUAAACCUUUUGAAACUCUUUGAAAAACCUAUUAAGGCGUUUUAAUAAAAGUUAAAGCAAAGCAAAUAAGGACAAAAAAAUUCAAAAUUUUUUAUUAUUUAUUCAAUUAAAAUAAUAACUCCUAUGUUGUCUCCUCUCGCAAAAAUAAGAAGCAUAGCUUCAGAAGUAAAAAGUAGAUAGUUGAGUAAUAAGAGGCAAUAAAAGUUAUAGUUGAGAAGAAACAAAUUCAUAGAGUGCCUAUGAUUUUUCACUCAACACCAAAUGCCAAGUAAUUAAAUAAAUAAAAAGUAUUCUUUUGCCAAAUAAAAGGAUUCAAAAUUCUUUGAGAACUUUAGCCAUUUCUAAAACUUGAAAAUAAAAUUCUUGUGGAGAAUGAACAUGGGUAUUUUGAGUAUUAAGCUUGCCGCGUUUUGAACUUAGAAAUGUUUUCAAAGUGAGAAGUACGCGAUGUAUAUAACGAAUAAAACUAGCUCGCAUUUUGAGAAGUUUAGAAAUGCAAAGAGGAAGGUAAAUCUUUAAGAAGGAAUUGUGCUUGAGGGCAAACAUGAUAUAAAAUGAUGCUUAAGGAUAAGCAUUAUUUUAAAUUUGGGGGUGAGAUAACUUGUAGAAAUUCAAGUUAUUAUGGCCUUUUAGAUAAAAUAAUGGGACCAAAAUGCAUAUGAAAUUUGUCAAAACAAGUAACUUGUGUUGUAAA
rnacentral:lncRNA from 1 species